GAUGAAGAACGUAGCGAAAUGCGAUACUUGGUGUGAAUUGCAGAAUCCCGUGAACCAUCGAGUCUUUGAACGCAAGUUGCGCCCGAAGCCAUUAGGCCGAGGGCACGCCUGCCUGGGCGUCACACGUCGUUGCCCCCCCAUCUACUCCUUCGGGAUUGCGGGGGGCGGAUGAUGGCCUCCCGUGCGCCACGCCGCGCGGUUGGCAUAAAUGCCAAGUCCUCGGCGACGCACGCCACGACAAUCGGUGGUUGCGAAACCUCGGUUGCCCGUCGUGUGCGGUCGUCGCGCAUCGAGGGCUCGAAAAAAUUGCCGGGCUUCGGCUCGACUUUCAACGCGACCCCAGGUCAGGCGGGGUUACCCGCUGAAUUUAAGCAUAUCAAUAAGCGGAGGA
rnacentral:misc_RNA from 1 species